UGUCGACUGGCGCGGCCUGGUCCGCGCCCUUCGUGGGGCCGUUGACCCGCUCAGGCCGUGGUUCGACACCUCGCCGGCUGC
rnacentral:tRNA from 1 species